rnacentral:snRNA from 1 species
GUGUUCGCUUUGGUAGCACAUAUAUAAAAACUGGAAAAAUACUGAGAAGAUUAGCAUGGCCCCUGCCCAAGGAUGACACACAAAUUUGUGAAGCCUUUCAUAUUUUU